rnacentral:rRNA from 1 species
UGGGGAAUAUUGGACAAUGGGCGAAAGCCUGAUCCAGCCAUGCCGCGUGUGUGAAGAAGGUCUUCGGAUUGUAAAGCACUUUAAGUUGGGAGGAAGGGUUGUAGAUUAAUACUCUGCAAUUUUGACGUUACCGACAGAAUAAGCACCGGCUAACUCUGUGCCAGCAGCCGCGGUAAUACAGAGGGUGCAAGCGUUAAUCGGAAUUACUGGGCGUAAAGCGCGCGUAGGUGGUUAGUUAAGUUGGAUGUGAAAUCCCCGGGCUCAACCUGGCAACUGCAUUCAAAACUGACUGACUAGAGUAUGGUAGAGGGUGGUGGAAUUUCCUGUGUAGCGGUGAAAUGCGUAGAUAUAGGAAGGAACACCAGUGGCGAAGGCGACCACCUGGACUGAUACUGACACUGAGGUGCGAAAGCGUGGGGAGCAAACA